AGGUCAUGGUGUGGCAGUUUCUUAAUAUGCUCUUGUACCUCUGCCAAGCUUCAUAUAGUGAUUCUCCAGCUUGUUGUUCAAAGUUAGUUAUUGCUUUCUUCAGUUU